rnacentral:rRNA from 1 species
GACGUAGGGCGCGAGCGUUGUCCGGAUUUAUUGGGCGUAAAGAGCUCGUAGGCGGCUUGUUGCGUCGGCUGUGAAAACCCAUGGCUCAACCGUGGGCUUGCAGCCGAUACGGGCAGGCUAGAGUUCGGUAGGGGAGAUUGGAAUUCUCGGUGUAGCGGUGAAAUGCGUAGAUAUCGAGAGGAACACCUGCGGCGAAGGCGGGUUGCUGGGCUGACACUGACGCUGAUGCGCGAAAGCCAGGGGAGCGAACGGG